AUUUCAAUCAUUUUUAUGAUGUGUAGGACUAACGUGAAAUGUUGUAAACGCUAUCAUAUCCUUUCCAGAUGCUGUGUAAAUAGCCGCCAUUGUUUCUUAAGACAACGGCACUCAUUACAGAAUCAUGAACAGGGCAUAUCAUCUUACAGCAUCACCGUCACAUCACAAUGCUAUUCCCAGCGUUUUGGUUUCCGCAGUCUGGCAGACAUGAUGUCAUUCGCUACUCAGAAGUGCCAUCUUGGUAGUCUGGACUCCGUUUAUGGCUGUGCAAUGUCCUGUUCCAGCUGACCGGUUCCCAGAUAUAGGGAGGCCAACACCACUCGUCUCUUUGCGGUCCUGACACGUGCCUGAUGGGAAAGAAAUGCUGAAAAACUGGUCAGGCGAGGUGAGCACAUGGACACGUGUGCCGUUGACCCGGAAAGCUGGCACGCGCUCUGCCAUCCAUCGGAAUUGGGCGUAAAGGCUGCGCGGCGCGCCUGGCGCCAGGGCGCCGCUCUCUGGAGCAGGCUCGGGUUUGACCAGCAGGGGCGCCAAAAGAAGAACGGAGGAGCUGCGCUCACAGAAAUGGAAAAAUGGAUUGACUGCAGAAGAAGAAUGCAAGGAUCUGAACGAGGCUAAUGCGCACGCUAAGUAUGGAAUGUCAACUCUUGAGGCAUUGAUUAAUCCAUUAUUCGUGUGGCGAGUGUCUAAAGCAGUUUAAGGUCUGCCACAAAGAGAGUGAAGCUGUUCCAGGUGUGGAUUUGUCCGAAGAUGACGCAUCUUUUGCUGCAUUGGUUUUCCCACAGAUGCAUCCUUUCGGCGUCCAAACCAUGCAAAUUAACAAAAUCUGGCAUUUCCCAUCACUGAUAUGACCAUCCUCCAGGCCAUGGUUAUGGUUGCUAUUUUACAGAAGAGAUAGGCUUCAUGUAAACACCGUAAAAGUGAAUGGUCCAUCAUCAUUCAUUAACCCUUAAGGGUCCUCAAAAUAAAUUAUAAAAUGUUAUAAAUGUUUGUAUCAGCUCCAAUUGGCUAGUAACUAAUUCAGGGUUUACCCCACCUACCGCCCAAAGACAGUUGCAUAGGCUCCAGCAAGUCCACGACCCUUGUACCACAUUUUCAAAAGGGUCUCCCUGAGUAUGUGGACCCGCACGCCAUUCAAACAAAAAAGACGGGUUAAUGGAACAUUCUAAAUUGUCCUGAGGCGUGAUUGUGAGUGAGAAUUGUUGUUCGUCUAUGUGUGCCCUGCGAUUGGCUGGCAACCAGUUCAGGGUGCGCCCCAAGAAAUGUUUAUUUUAUGCAGGAGGGAAUGAGCUAUUAUAAUAUAGUAAUUAGAAAUAAUUUGCCCCACUAUGGCUGCUAUUUGAUUACCACUGAAACCUCACAAAGAACCCAGCAAAUCCAACUGGGUGGGACAAUCGGUGAAACCAGCCAAUGCCGUCUCAGAGCAUAACAACCAAUCAUGAAGCAGCGCAACACAAGGAGAGCCGAUGAUUAUCGAAGAUAGCCGAAAACUAACGAGCGCCAUUCAAGUGUUUUUAAAUAGCUCACGAGUUCUGCCGAAUAACACAACUUGCUGAAACGACGAUUGGCGUUCAUUUUAUGGCAAACACCUGAAGUGACCUUUAUUUGUAUUUUUUUUUAAUAAUUCGCGGGAAUACUUUCUCGGAUUUUGAAGGAUCGUAAAGAAAGAAGGACGUUUAAAGCGUCACAGACCGUGUUACUACAUUAGCAUAAGAAGGUUGCUACCGUUUCUGUCAACGGGAUGCCUAGUCUACGACACGAAACGUCGGAUUUCACUGUAAUUUCGGCGUUUUGUUGCAACUUCGUCUCUUACCCGCCUCGUCGGUCCCGCGCGCGGAAGAGCCGGUCGGAUAUUCGCAUGAAAGCCCCAGCCAGGGCCGGCGAGUACACGGAGGACACUAGCCUCCUCCACGACAUGGGGGCCGCCAUUGCUGCCGCAGCUCCCAUUUGAAGAAGGGGGGAAAAAAAUAAAAAUCCGAAACUUUAUUGCCACAAAGUGGUGGGGACGUGACAAGACAACCCGGCGAAGCCUUCAAGUAAGUAAAACUGGCAUCACUCGACGCACGUAAUAACUUGAGUAAAUAUCACGCGGGAGAGGUAAACCUCACCUAAAAUACACUGAUACUGCAUUUGGGUAUUCAUUGAAUAACACUGUAUAUAAAAAAAGCAUGUUAGUAACCCCCCGCCCCCUGAUUUCCAGCUGAUAACGGAACAACAACCAUUCAUGCUCACAAUCACCCCAUGGGACAAUUUCGAGCCUUCCUUUAACCUACCGUGCUUGAUUUUGGAAUCUGGGAAGAAACCGGAGUAACCGGAUAAAACCCACGCAGGUACGGGGACAACAUGAAAAAUCCACACAGGAUCGAACCCAGCACGUCUGCACUGUGAGGUGGACGUGCUAACCAGUCAAUCACUAUCCAUUACAAGCUAUAUAUACUGUAUAUGUAUAUAUAUAUGUGUGUAGUGUUUGCGUGGGUUUGCGUGUUUUCCAUUUGGACAUAUGCACAAACAAGUUAUUUGUGUGCAAAAAGAAAUUUGUUUUAUUGUUCAAAACUGAGAGGUUACAUAUCACAAAUAUAGUCACAGGCAUGAAAAUAAAUCUUUAAAACUGUCAACAGGUAGUCUAUUUCUGUAUUUGUACCUGUACUUCAUACUCGGUCAACAUCAAAAUCUUUAAAUCGAAUCCAGCCAAAUCCAAAUUGAAUCGCAACUUCAAAAAUGGGAAUUGAAUCUUAACAAUACACUCAACACUGGUUCACAAACACAUCCUUUAGUUAAUUCAAUAAUUUGUGAAUUAAUUAUAAAUAACAAAUCAUAGUAUCAUUUAAUUCUUCAAAUAAACUUUUUUGUAAAUCAUCAAUAAAUUACCAUUUAAUUUACAAAAUCUAAAGAGAACAAAAGCACACCCACCCCUGAUAAAAGUGUAAUUAGCUCAAAGUUAAUUAGAGGACUUUGAGCCGUAUAACAUGUGCAUGACUAGCAAAUUUUGUAGAACAAGUACACCUUAGCCCCCCCCAAAAAAAACAUGUAUAUUGAGAGAACGUGAUGAAUUAUCACGAUGAAUAUUUCAUGCCGUGUAAAAUGCAUGUGGAACGGCUCGACCGGUACCAGGAAACGGACCCUGCUGCAAAGGUCACCAAGAUUAUUUACUGGCAAUACGCCAGAGCGAGAGCCGCGCGAGCACGCACGCGUGUGCCCGUGCGUCAAGACCGUGCGCGCGCACGAACCCAUGCGUUUACUGGAAGAACCUCAGGACAGAAGGGGGCGGGGCCUUACGAUCGGCUUUACUCACUGGAAACAACCUCCGGUAACCUUCCGCCACACACAUACACGGAGACACACACAUACGGUCCGUCUACCUCCUCUCCCGCAGACGGCAGCGCCGCCGCCGACGAAGACGACCGUCCUCGGCAUACUUUUUGGGCAGAAUAUUCCGUCGGGGGGAUUUUAAUGCCUGAGCUAAUCCACCUCCAUCUAGCACUACUCUCGGGUAGUUUGCCGAGUGUAUCUUUUGGCGACGUGCUGCGGCGCGGGGCUGUAUUAAUCCGCAAGGUGUAUCUUGGUGGUCUCUCCCAGCCCCUCUCUGGAUGCAUCCAGCUCCUCUGCCCCCGGGCCCUGGACCCGGUGUGUGACCCCGCCGUCCUCCCCUCAGUCCCCUUCAGAGACCGUCGCCUUCCCGCCGCCCGUUCUCUGCCCGGAGGAGGUGGACCGCAGCGA